rnacentral:rRNA from 2 species
GGUUAAGCGACUAAGCGUACACGGUGGAUGCCCUGGCAGUCAGAGGCGAUGAAGGACGUGCUAAUCUGCGAAAAGCGUCGGUAAGGUGAUAUGAACCGUUAUAACCGGCGAUGUCCGAAUGGGGAAACCCAGUGCAAUUCGUUGCACUAUCGUUAACUGAAUACAUAGGUUAACGAGGCGAACCGGGGGAACUGAAACAUCUAAGUACCCCGAGGAAAAGAAAUCAACCGAGAUUCCCCCAGUAGCGGCGAGCGAACGGGGAGCAGCCCAGAGUCUGAAUCAGCUUGUGUGUUAGUGGAACGGUCUGGAAAGUCCGACGGUACAGGGUGAUAGUCCCGUACACCAAAAUGCACAGGUUGUGAACUCGAAGAGUAGGGCGGGACACGUGGUAUCCUGUCUGAAUAUGGGGGGACCAUCCUCCAAGGCUAAAUACUCCUGACUGACCGAUAGUGAACCAGUACCGUGAGGGAAAGGCGAAAAGAACCCCGGCGAGGGGAGUGAAAAAGAACCUGAAACCGUGUACGUACAAGCAGUGGGAGCACCUUCGGGUGUGACUGCGUACCUUUUGUAUAAUGGGUCAGCGACUUAUAUUCUGUAGCAAGGUUAACCGUAUAGGGGAGCCGCAGGGAAACCGAGUCUUAACUGGGCGUUAAGUUGCAGGGUAUAGACCCGAAACCCGGUGAUCUAGCCAUGGGCAGGUUGAAGGUUGGGUAACACUAACUGGAGGACCGAACCGACUAAUGUUGAAAAAUUAGCGGAUGACUUGUGGCUGGGGGUGAAAGGCCAAUCAAACCGGGAGAUAGCUGGUUCUCCCCGAAAGCUAUUUAGGUAGCGCCUCGUGAACUCAUCUUCGGGGGUAGAGCACUGUUUCGGCUAGGGGGUCAUCCCGACUUACCAACCCGAUGCAAACUACGAAUACCGAAGAAUGUUAUCACGGGAGACACACGGCGGGUGCUAACGUCCGUCGUGAAGAGGGAAACAACCCAGACCGCCAGCUAAGGUCCCAAAGUCAUGGUUAAGUGGGAAACGAUGUGGGAAGGCACAGACAGCCAGGAUGUUGGCUUAGAAGCAGCCAUCAUUUAAAGAAAGCGUAAUAGCUCACUGGUCGAGUCGGCCUGCGCGGAAGAUGUAACGGGGCUAAACCAUGCACCGAAGCUGCGGCAGCGACACUAUGUGUUGUUGGGUAGGGGAGCGUUCUGUAAGCCUGCGAAGGUGUGCUGUGAGGCAUGCUGGAGGUAUCAGAAGUGCGAAUGCUGACAUAAGUAACGAUAAAGCGGGUGAAAAGCCCGCUCGCCGGAAGACCAAGGGUUCCUGUCCAACGUUAAUCGGGGCAGGGUGAGUCGACCCCUAAGGCGAGGCCGAAAGGCGUAGUCGAUGGGAAACAGGUUAAUAUUCCUGUACUUGGUGUUACUGCGAAGGGGGGACGGAGAAGGCUAUGUUAGCCGGGCGACGGUUGUCCCGGUUUAAGCAUGUAGGCUGGUUAUCCAGGCAAAUCCGGAUAAUCAAGGCUGAGGUGUGAUGACGAGGCACUACGGUGCUGAAGUAACAAAUGCCCUGCUUCCAGGAAAAGCCUCUAAGCAUCAGGUAACAUCAAAUCGUACCCCAAACCGACACAGGUGGUCAGGUAGAGAAUACCAAGGCGCUUGAGAGAACUCGGGUGAAGGAACUAGGCAAAAUGGUGCCGUAACUUCGGGAGAAGGCACGCUGGUGUGUAGGUGAAGUCCCUGCGGAUGGAGCUGAGACCAGUCGAAGAUACCAGCUGGCUGCAACUGUUUAUUAAAAACACAGCACUGUGCAAACACGAAAGUGGACGUAUACGGUGUGACGCCUGCCCGGUGCCGGAAGGUUAAUUGAUGGGGUUAUCCGUAAGGAGAAGCUCUUGAUCGAAGCCCCGGUAAACGGCGGCCGUAACUAUAACGGUCCUAAGGUAGCGAAAUUCCUUGUCGGGUAAGUUCCGACCUGCACGAAUGGCGUAAUGAUGGCCAGGCUGUCUCCACCCGAGACUCAGUGAAAUUGAACUCGCUGUGAAGAUGCAGUGUACCCGCGGCAAGACGGAAAGACCCCGUGAACCUUUACUAUAGCUUGACACUGAACAUUGAGCCUUGAUGUGUAGGAUAGGUGGGAGGCUUUGAAGCGUGGACGCCAGUCUGCGUGGAGCCAACCUUGAAAUACCACCCUUUAAUGUUUGAUGUUCUAACGUUGGCCCCUGACCGGGGUUGCGGACAGUGUCUGGUGGGUAGUUUGACUGGGGCGGUCUCCUCCCAAAGCGUAACGGAGGAGCACGAAGGUUAGCUAAUCCUGGUCGGACAUCAGGAGGUUAGUGCAAUGGCAUAAGCUAGCUUGACUGCGAGCGUGACGGCGCGAGCAGGUGCGAAAGCAGGUCAUAGUGAUCCGGUGGUUCUGAAUGGAAGGGCCAUCGCUCAACGGAUAAAAGGUACUCCGGGGAUAACAGGCUGAUACCGCCCAAGAGUUCAUAUCGACGGCGGUGUUUGGCACCUCGAUGUCGGCUCAUCACAUCCUGGGGCUGAAGUAGGUCCCAAGGGUAUGGCUGUUCGCCAUUUAAAGUGGUACGCGAGCUGGGUUUAGAACGUCGUGAGACAGUUCGGUCCCUAUCUGCCGUGGGCGCUGGAGAAUUGAGGGGGGCUGCUCCUAGUACGAGAGGACCGGAGUGGACGCAUCACUGGUGUUCGGGUUGUCAUGCCAAUGGCACUGCCCGGUAGCUAAAUGCGGAAGAGAUAAGUGCUGAAAGCAUCUAAGCACGAAACUUGCCCCGAGAUGAGUUCUCCCUGAGACUAUAAGUCUCCUGAAGGAACGUUGAAGACGACGACGUUGAUAGGCCGGGUGUGUAAGCGCAGCGAUGCGUUGAGCUAACCGGUACUAAUGAACCGUGAGGCUUAACCUU